GACGAACGCUGGCGGCGUGCCUAACACAUGCAAGUGGAGCGACGAACCAGGCUUCGGCCUGGAGCAAAGCCGCGAACGGGUGAGUAACACGUGGGUAACCUGCCCCGAUGAUCGGGACAACCCGGGGAAACCCGGGCUAAUACCGAAUGUGGUCUCGGUUCAUGAGGACCGUGACGAAAGGAAGCUUCGGCCUCCGCAUCGGGAGGGGCCCGCGGCCCAUUAGCUAGUUGGUGGGGUAACGGCCUACCAAGGCUCCGAUGGGUAGCUGGUCUGAGAGGACGAUCAGCCACACUGGGACUGAGACACGGCCCAGACUCCUACGGGAGGCAGCAGUGGGGAAUCUUGCGCAAUGCGCGAAAGCGUGACGCAGCAACGCCGCGUGCGGGAAGACGGCCUUCGGGUUGUAAACCGCUUUCAGUUGGGACGAAGCUUCGCCGGUGAAUAGCCGGCUGGAGUGACGGUACCUUCACAAGAAGCCCCGGCUAACUACGUGCCAGCAGCCGCCGUAACAC
rnacentral:rRNA from 1 species